CAUUGCACCCAGAGCACAACUAUGCUGAAGUAAUUUUAUUUAUUAUCUCUAGGAUGGAAAACCAAUUUAAUGUGAAGUACCAACCAGUUGCACAGCUUGCACUCAUCAACAUCAUCAACUCUUGCACCUGCUAAGAAAGCUACUGUGGAAGAUCAUAAAUGGAAAACUCAAGUCGUGCCUGAAAAAGAUAGGUUUAAGAAUCAAGCACAUCAGCAAUAAAUAAAAAAUACUGCAAAGUAAAUAUUUGCAAUUUGCCGUCCAGCUCAAUUGAUUUAUAUGGUUUCUCAUAAUUAUUUUUCUUUCAUUUUGAAUUGUUUCAGGGUGUCUAUUUUGAAAUUGAUGCACUGAUGAUUUACUAUCCAGUUCAUCAGUUGCUGUGGCAUGAUGGUUGCACAACUACUUCAAAAAAGCAUAUGUACCACUGUCCGGUGAUUUUGUGUUGCUGUGGAAACUAAACAACAGUAAAAAGCCAGGACAGGCAGUGCUUCGACAUGGGCUUGAACUUGUCCAACAAAUGAAGCAGAGGCCAUUUUUGGCUGGGGGGAAUGAACGACCAUGCCAAAACUGUUGCAGGACUAUUCAAAGGGAUGGGGAAAGAGAUCAACAAGAAAAAUAAAACAAACAUUGAAGUAGACUGAAGAAGGGCAAGGGUACAAAGGCCAGGUGGUGGAGAUUAGGUUGGCAGAACGGUGGGAGGCAAGGUGGCCCCCAUAGUCAGAAGAAAAUGGGGACAAUGCCACAUUUAAAGGUGGGUGGGAGAGGGUCUCACCCAGAAAUCUCCGAUCCAUGUCCUGCCGCUUUGGCCCCUUUCACUGGUCCUAUGCCCCCAGUUCUAGAUUUGUGAUGCCUCAAUCAACUUGUGCCAUUAAUCAAACCUAGUCCUUUUUCUUUUUUUUGAAGAGCACACGCUGUCUUCAAUUAUCACGCUUUAUUUGUGCACCAUAUCAAGAUUGAUUUUAUGCGAAUUUUGGGAGAUCAAAUUAUCCAGUUGCUUUUCAGAAUUUCUUUUUUUUUUCCCCCCCAAAGCAAACGUGUCAUAAAUUUUGAAAUAGAAGUUAUAUUGGACAAAUGGUCAUAUGAUCAUUUGCAUAAAUACAGCUCAUGGAUGUCCAAACAGUCUAGAGCAUUUUAAUUAUUUCUCUAACUUUCUAUUUCGAAGCUGCAAUGACGUGGCCAUUUGAGAGAAUCCAAA